UGCCCAGAGUGACAAUCAUGUCUUUCCAGG
rnacentral:piRNA from 1 species